GAUGAACGCUAGCUACAGGCUUAACACAUGCAAGUCGAGGGACCGGCGCACGGGUGAGUAACACGUAUCCAACCUGCCCUUUACUCGGGGAUAGCCUUUCGAAAGAGAUAUUCAUACCCGAUAUAAAGGAUGUGGAUGCGUUCAAUUAGUUUGUUGGUGAAGUAACGGCUCACCAAGGCUUCGAUGGAUAGGGGUUCGGAGAGGAAGGCACACCACAUGUGAAACAAGACACGGUCUAAUAUGCGACGGGAGGAAGCAGUGUGGAAUAUUAGUCAAUGGGCGCUAGCCUGAACCAGCCAAGUAGCGGGAAGAAGGAAGGCUUAUGGGUCGUAUACUUGUUGGAUAUAAGAAUAGUUAUUAUAUGAAUAAGGAUCGGCUAACUCCGUGCCAGCAGCCGCGGUAAUUC
rnacentral:rRNA from 1 species